rnacentral:ribozyme from 1 species
GCGGCUCAACAACGGCAUCAACGUUGGGCUCUUCCCCCAGGGCACCCGCGGGGUUCCGUCGGAAAAGAAGGCGCCGCUUGACUUCAAG